ACGGGUGAGUAACGCGUAGGAAUCUGCCUUGAAGCGGGGGACAACCCGAGGAAACUCGGGCUAAUACCGCAUAUUAUCGAGAGAUGAAAGCUGGGGCAACCUGGCACUUCAAGAGGAGCCUGCGUCCGAUUAGCUAGUUGGUAGGGUAAAAGCCUACCAAGGCGAUGAUCGGUAGCUGGUCUGAGAGGAUGAUCAGCCACACUGGGACUGAGACACGGCCCAGACUCCUACGGGAGGCAGCAGUGGGGAAUAUUGGACAAUGGGGGCAACCCUGAUCCAGCAAUGCCGCGUGUGUGAAGAAGGCCUUAGGGUUGUAAAGCACUUUUGGCAGAGAAGAAGUUGUGAAGUUUAAGAGACAUUACAAUUGACUGUAUCUGCAGAAUAAGCACCGGCUAACUCUGUGCCAGCAGCCGCGGUAAUACAGAGGGUGCAAGCGUUAAUCGGAGUUACUGGGCGUAAAGGGCGCGUAGGCGGUUAUAUAAGUGAGAUGUGAAAUCCCUGGGCUUAACCUAGGAACUGCAUCUCAUACUGUAUAGCUGGAGUAUUGUAGAGGGUAGUGGAAUUUCCGGU
rnacentral:rRNA from 1 species